GAUGAAGAACGUAGCGAAAUGCGAUAAGUAAUGUGAAUUGCAGAAUUCAGUGAAUCAUCGAAUCUUUGAACGCACAUUGCGCCCGCCAGUAUUCUGGCGGGCAUGCCUGUUCGAGCGUCAUUACAACCCUCAGGCCCCCGGGCCUGGCGUUGGGGAUCGGCGGAAGCCCCCUGUGGGCACACGCCGUCCCUCAAAUACAGUGGCGGUCCCGCCGCAGCUUCCAUUGCGUAGUAGCUAACACCUCGCAACUGGAGAGCGGCGCGGCCAUGCCGUAAAACACCCAACUUCUGAAUGUUGACCUCGAAUCAGGUAGGAAUACCCGCUGAACUUAAGCAUAUCAAUAAGCGGGAGGA
rnacentral:misc_RNA from 1 species